UUAAGCGACUAAGCGUACACGGUGGAUGCCCUGGCAGUCAGAGGCGAUGAAGGACGUGCUAAUCUGCGAUAAGCGUCGGUAAGGUGAUAUGAACCGUUAUAACCGGCGAUUUCCGAAUGGGGAAACCCAGUGUGUUUCGACACACUAUCAUUAACUGAAUCCAUAGGUUAAUGAGGCGAACCGGGGGAACUGAAACAUCUAAGUACCCCGAGGAAAAGAAAUCAACCGAGAUUCCCCCAGUAGCGGCGAGCGAACGGGGAGCAGCCCAGAGCCUGAAUCAGUGUGUGUGUUAGUGGAAGCGUCUGGAAAGGCGCGCGAUACAGGGUGACAGCCCCGUACACAAAAAUGCACAUGCUGUGAGCUCGAUGAGUAGGGCGGGACACGUGGUAUCCUGUCUGAAUAUGGGGGGACCAUCCUCCAAGGCUAAAUACUCCUGACUGACCGAUAGUGAACCAGUACCGUGAGGGAAAGGCGAAAAGAACCCCGGCGAGGGGAGUGAAAAAGAACCUGAAACCGUGUACGUACAAGCAGUGGGAGCCUCUUUUAUGGGGUGACUGCGUACCUUUUGUAUAAUGGGUCAGCGACUUAUAUUCUGUAGCAAGGUUAACCGAAUAGGGGAGCCGAAGGGAAACCGAGUCUUAACUGGGCGUUAAGUUGCAGGGUAUAGACCCGAAACCCGGUGAUCUAGCCAUGGGCAGGUUGAAGGUUGGGUAACACUAACUGGAGGACCGAACCGACUAAUGUUGAAAAAUUAGCGGAUGACUUGUGGCUGGGGGUGAAAGGCCAAUCAAACCGGGAGAUAGCUGGUUCUCCCCGAAAGCUAUUUAGGUAGCGCCUCGUGAAUUCAUCUCCGGGGGUAGAGCACUGUUUCGGCAAGGGGGUCAUCCCGACUUACCAACCCGAUGCAAACUGCGAAUACCGGAGAAUGUUAUCACGGGAGACACACGGCGGGUGCUAACGUCCGUCGUGAAGAGGGAAACAACCCAGACCGCCAGCUAAGGUCCCAAAGUCAUGGUUAAGUGGGAAACGAUGUGGGAAGGCCCAGACAGCCAGGAUGUUGGCUUAGAAGCAGCCAUCAUUUAAAGAAAGCGUAAUAGCUCACUGGUCGAGUCGGCCUGCGCGGAAGAUGUAACGGGGCUAAACCAUGCACCGAAGCUGCGGCAGCGACGCUGAUGCGUUGUUGGGUAGGGGAGCGUUCUGUAAGCCUGUGAAGGUGUGCUGUGAGGCAUGCUGGAGGUAUCAGAAGUGCGAAUGCUGACAUAAGUAACGAUAAAGCGGGUGAAAAGCCCGCUCGCCGGAAGACCAAGGGUUCCUGUCCAACGUUAAUCGGGGCAGGGUGAGUCGACCCCUAAGGCGAGGCCGAAAGGCGUAGUCGAUGGGAAACAGGUUAAUAUUCCUGUACUUGGUGUUACUGCGAAGGGGGGACGGAGAAGGCUAUGUUGGCCGGGCGACGGUUGUCCCGGUUUAAGCGUGUAGGCUGGUUUUCCAGGCAAAUCCGGAAAAUCAAGGCUGAGGCGUGAUGACGAGGCACUACGGUGCUGAAGCAACAAAUGCCCUGCUUCCAGGAAAAGCCUCUAAGCAUCAGGUAACAUCAAAUCGUACCCCAAACCGACACAGGUGGUCAGGUAGAGAAUACCAAGGCGCUUGAGAGAACUCGGGUGAAGGAACUAGGCAAAAUGGUGCCGUAACUUCGGGAGAAGGCACGCUGAUAUGUAGGUGAAGUCCCUCGCGGAUGGAGCUGAAAUCAGUCGAAGAUACCAGCUGGCUGCAACUGUUUAUUAAAAACACAGCACUGUGCAAACACGAAAGUGGACGUAUACGGUGUGACGCCUGCCCGGUGCCGGAAGGUUAAUUGAUGGGGUCAGCGCAAGCGAAGCUCUUGAUCGAAGCCCCGGUAAACGGCGGCCGUAACUAUAACGGUCCUAAGGUAGCGAAAUUCCUUGUCGGGUAAGUUCCGACCUGCACGAAUGGCGUAAUGAUGGCCAGGCUGUCUCCACCCGAGACUCAGUGAAAUUGAACUCGCUGUGAAGAUGCAGUGUACCCGCGGCAAGACGGAAAGACCCCGUGAACCUUUACUAUAGCUUGACACUGAACAUUGAGCCUUGAUGUGUAGGAUAGGUGGGAGGCUUUGAAGUGUGGACGCCAGUCUGCAUGGAGCCGACCUUGAAAUACCACCCUUUAAUGUUUGAUGUUCUAACGUUGACCCGUAAUCCGGGUUGCGGACAGUGUCUGGUGGGUAGUUUGACUGGGGCGGUCUCCUCCUAAAGAGUAACGGAGGAGCACGAAGGUUGGCUAAUCCUGGUCGGACAUCAGGAGGUUAGUGCAAUGGCAUAAGCCAGCUUGACUGCGAGCGUGACGGCGCGAGCAGGUGCGAAAGCAGGUCAUAGUGAUCCGGUGGUUCUGAAUGGAAGGGCCAUCGCUCAACGGAUAAAAGGUACUCCGGGGAUAACAGGCUGAUACCGCCCAAGAGUUCAUAUCGACGGCGGUGUUUGGCACCUCGAUGUCGGCUCAUCACAUCCUGGGGCUGAAGUAGGUCCCAAGGGUAUGGCUGUUCGCCAUUUAAAGUGGUACGCGAGCUGGGUUUAGAACGUCGUGAGACAGUUCGGUCCCUAUCUGCCGUGGGCGCUGGAGAACUGAGGGGGGCUGCUCCUAGUACGAGAGGACCGGAGUGGACGCAUCACUGGUGUUCGGGUUGUCAUGCCAAUGGCACUGCCCGGUAGCUAAAUGCGGAAGAGAUAAGUGCUGAAAGCAUCUAAGCACGAAACUUGCCCCGAGAUGAGUUCUCCCUGACUCCUUGAGAGUCCUAAAGGAACGUUGAAGACGACGACGUUGAUAGGCCGGGUGUGUAAGCGCAGCGAUGCGUUGAGCUAACCGGUACUAAUGAACCGUGAGGCUUAACCUU
rnacentral:rRNA from 1 species